GAUGAAGAACGUAGCGAAAUGCGAUAAGUAGUGUGAAUUGCAGAAUUCAGUGAAUCAUCGAAUCUUUGAACGCACAUUGCGCCCCUUGGUAUUCCAUGGGGCAUGCCUGUUCGAGCGUCAUUUGUACCUUCAAGCUUUGCUUGGUGUUGGGUGUUUGUCUCGCCUUUGCGUGUAGACUCGCCUUAAAACAAUUGGCAGCCGGCGUAUUGAUUUCGGAGCGCAGUACAUCUCGCGCUUUGCACUCAUAACGACGACGUCCAAAAGUACAUUUUUACACUCUUGACCUCGGAUCAGGUAGGGAUACCCGCUGAACUUAAGCAUAUCAAUAACGGAGGA
rnacentral:misc_RNA from 1 species